rnacentral:rRNA from 1 species
CUCCUAAUACGAGGUUCUGUUGACGUUAUUCGCAGAAUAAGAAUAAGCACCGGCUAACUACGUGCCAGCAGCCGCGGUAAUACGUAGGGUGCAAGCGUUAAUCGGAAUUACUGGGCGUAAAGCGUGUGUAGGCGGUUCGGAAAGAAAGAUGUGAAAUCCCAGGGCUCAACCUUGGAACUGCAUUUUUAACUGCCGAGCUAGAGUAUGUCAGAGGGGGGUAGAAUUCCACGUGUAGCAGUGAAAUGCGUAGAUAUGUGGAGGAAUACCGAUGGCGAAGGCAGCCCCCUGGGAUAAUACUGACGCUCAGACACGAAAGCGUGGGGAGCAAACAGGAUUAGAUACCCUGGUAGUCCACGCCCUAAACGAUGUCAACUAGCUGUUGGGGCCGUUACGGUCUAGUAGCGCAGCUAACGCGUGAAGUUGACCGCCUGGGGAGUACGGUCGCAAGAUUAAAACUCAAAGGAAUUGACGGGGACCCGCACAAGCGGUGGAUGAUGUGGAUUAAUUCGAUGCAACGCGAAAAACCUUACCUACCCUUGACAUGUCUGGAAAGCCGAAGAGAUUUGGCCGUGCUCGCAAGAGAACCGGAACACAGGUGCUGCAUGGCUGUCGUCAGCUCGUGUCGUGAGAUGUUGGGUUAAGUCCCGCAACGGGCGCAACCCUUGUCAUUAGUUGCUACGGAAGNAGCACUCUAAUGAGACUGCCGGUGACAAACCGGAGGAAGGUGGGGAUGACGUCAAGUCCUCAUGGCCCUUAUGGGUAGGGCUUCACACGUCAUACAAUGGUCGGGACAGAGGGUCGCCAACCCGCGAGGGGGAGCCAAUCUCAGAAACCCGAUCGUAGUCCGGAUCGCAGUCUGCAACUCGACUGCGUGAAGUCGGAAUCGCUAGUAAUCGCGGAUCAGAAUGUCGCGGUGAAUACGUUCCCGGGUCUUGUACACACCGCCCGUCACACCAUGGGAGUGGGUUUCACCAGAAGUAGGUAGCCUAACCGUAAGGAGGGCGCUU